UCGAAUGAUGAGGUAAUUUGCGAUUGAUGCCAGCGACCGGAGGCGCCCGCCAGCGACUCUCAACGGCGUUGGAUCGAUGAUAUUCAAUUCUUACAUAUUCUGACC
rfam:Neofusicoccum parvum TCRNP2 chromosome Tnknown NP2_03_scaffold_1006, whole genome shotgun sequence.